UACGUAGGGAGCGAGCGUUGUCCGGAUUCAUUGGGCGUAAAGAGCUCGUAGGCGGCUUGGCAAGUCGGGUGUGAAAACUCCAGGCUCAACCUGGAGACGCCACCCGAUACUGCCAUGGCUAGAGUCCGGUAGGGGACCACGGAAUUCCUGGUGUAGCGGUGAAAUGCGCAGAUAUCAGGAGGAACACCGGUGGCGAAGGCGGUGGUCUGGGCCGGAACUGACGCUGAGGAGCGAAGGCGUGGGGAGCGAAUAGG
rnacentral:rRNA from 1 species